rnacentral:tRNA from 1 species
UCAUGGGGUCGAUCAGCGAUCCCCCGGUGGCGACGGCGCGGAUCGCCCGGCCGAGCAGCCCCGCGUCCGACACGCGGUCCUUGAG